UGUUCUUUCCUUCUGGCAGAGCAAUCUGCGUUAGCUGAGCUCUUUCACGGAGCGGAGCCAAGCCACCCUAUCUGUAGCCUCCCGCAAUGACCAGCAGACUCUCACAGCCACCAAAAGGGAACCUUUCCGCAUAAAGCCAGGUUCUGCUUGGGCACCAUGGCAAGCAGUCCCAGGCCAGACGGUCCACCUUCCACAACAACAGUUAGUUCUGUCCUUGUCCAGGCUGGUGACUGCAGAAUUACCAUAGCUAUUCUUAAGUGCGGGACGUGGGUGCAGCUCCAACUAUCUGAAUCAGUACCAAAUUUACUAGAAAUUGGCAGCAAUCAAGAAGAGACCAACAAAUUAUUGCAAGACCAUGAACUUCUCCUGGCUAAGCUUAAGCCUUUGGAAGGCCAAGUGUGGGACCUGUUGCGUGAAGCAGACAAAACUGCAGCAGAAAACACAGAUCAAGGACUGGUGUACGAUGCCAUGGCAGAAACCCUGGGCGAUGCUUGGGACUCACUCAUUUGCUUUCUGGAGAAGCGCAGGGGGCUUCUAAAACUUACCUCAAGUUUUUUUGAAAAGGCUCUCGAGUUUGCGGUCAAGAUUGACCAGGUUGAAGAUUUCCUGCGGAAUUCCCAAGAGUUUGAGACACCUGAAUCCUUGAAAUUGCUCCUGUGCCAGCACAAACUUCAUACAAAAGAGCUUUUACAAAAGUCAUUGGUCCUCUUGAACAAAAGCCAAGACCUUACUGAAUUCAUAGAAGAAUUCAAAUCUGAUGGCCCGAAUAUCAAUCCAGAAUUCUUCCAGGGAGCCCACAGCAGCUGCCUGAAAAUUGACAGGCUUCUUGAAGCUCUGCAAGACCGGAGGAGGCAGCUGGACAAGUACCUGAAGCUGCAGCGUCAGGGGCUAGAGCAAGUCCUGCACAUCUGUCAGUGGCACCACCGGGAAAAUCAGGUAACCUCUUGGUACAAGAAGAAUAUAAAAGAUUAUUUCCAUAAGCACAACUUUGGGUCAACUUUAAAAGAAAAUGAAGAAUUACUUCAGGAACACAAGGAAAUUGAAAAUAAGGUUAAAGAAUGGAACUCUACUUUGGAAGAAUUAAAAACUGAUGCACUCGGGAUCCUAUUUUCAGAGGAUUAUGCUGAAAAAGAGCAUCUGAAACUUGCCAAUCAGAAAAUAAAUCUAUUGCAACAGGAAGUGAACCGCAGUAUGAAUGAACGGAAAACUUUGCUACAAGAAGCCAAUGACUUCUUCAUCGCAGCAAAUAAGGCAUGUGAUAUACUUGGAAAUGUAGAGGCUUCACUGCAGCUUCUUAACUCAGAAGGUCCAAGCAUGUCUCUGCCAGCAAUGAAGCAUGAGGAACUGCUGAAGAAAAUUCAGAAUGGAUCGACUGAUGCUCUGCAGAAGGGACACACCUUACUCAGCAAAGGAGAUACUUGCAGUUCUUGGAUGGCUGGUGUUCAGGAAAUGGUAGAUUACAUUCAGAAAAAAGUAGACCAGUUGAUUAAGCAGUGUUCUGCUCACAAAGAACUUGCCUCAAAAAAGCAACAUUUAACGACGUCCAUAGAUGAUUAUCUCAAGAAGGCUUCUACAAAGAUUAAAAACAUUGGUCCAAUACUGUCUGUUGCGAUGAAUCCUGGAUCUUCUGUGCCUGAAUCAGAGGAAGUCUUGAACAAAUAUUUAGAGCUGGCAAAUCAAACCAAGGAGAUGGCGAAUGAACUGGAAUUAGCUGUACGGAUUUUUAAGGAGAUGGAAGAAUUUGAAACUACAGAUGUUACAGCUUUUUCUAACAAAACUGACCUUCUGAAUGAAGAGCUGACGACACUGAACAGAAAUAUUAGCUUGAAACUGGAAGUGCUGAAGCCUUAUGUAGCUUUUUUAAAGUCAUCAAAUGAGGUUGAAGAUGAUGCUCAGAGGCUGAAAAAGUUCUAUAUAACAGAGCCUUUGCAAGAAGACAUUGAAGCUAAAAAUGAGGCCUUGGUACAGUCAGCAGACGUCCAGUGGCAGAUGGUUUUGAAGAAGAUUCUUUCCACUCAAGAUAUGGGGCAUGACUUUUUAAAUUUAGUCAACAUGGUAAAUGACAAUCUAAUAUUGAAUGUGGAAAAUGUUGUACAAGUAACUGAACAUACUAUUGAUAUUCUGAACAAAGAAAAGGACGAAUUGACAGAGCUUUGGACAACAUGGAAACUGAAUAUGAAUCAAGUGAACUCCAUCAAACGGCAGUGUGGGAAAUUUAAUGAGCAAUUUAAAAAUACCACACAAAGCCUAAACAUUCUUCAAGAGACACUCAAGUCCACCAGAACACUUGAUCUUGGAAGCAACCUUUCAAUACUUGUAGAACUUCAAAAUACAUUUAACCAAAUGAAACCACAAUUUCAGCAACUCAAUGUUGAGGUGGAAUACACAUUAAAGUUAUCAGAGCAGUUGAGCUUGAAAGGAGUUCCGGACAUGGAGAAGUCAGAGAAAGUAAGUGAACUUAAGCAUCUCCAUAAGGAGAUAAAGGAAAGGAUGGCAGAAUAUGAUGACAUUUUCAACAAGACAGUCAGAUUCCAUCACAUCAAAGAAGAGCUUGAAGAUCUCAUAAAAUCAGCAGGAUUAGACAUCGCAGAAUUGAAAGAUGUGCCAGGUGACACUCCUCAUGCUAAAAUUCACCUGAAUAAUGCUCAGGAGAAGCAUGCACAUAUCAGGCACCUGUACAAGAUGGUGCUCACGCUUGGAAUGGAUAUAAUUUCAGCCGCGAAAUAUACUAAUUCCUUUAAUGUUUCUGUAAAGAACCUACAGCAGCAGCUGGAUGCCCUUGAAAAUGACAGCAUUAACUGGAAUUCCAAGGCUGAAAAGCAUGAGGAAGAGCUGUCACACAUCCUCUAUUUCUGCACCAAAAGAGACGAGAUCCAUGAGCUCAGAGAAUCAUUUAAAGACCUCAAAAAGAAAUUCAACAACAUGAAAUUCAACUACAGCAAGAAAACUGAAAAAGCACGAAAUCUGAAAGCACUAAAGAUCCAGAUUCAACAAGUUGAUGCAUAUUCUGAAAAAAUGCAGGUACUGAAGAAGAAGACAGAGAAUUUAAAGAAGACAAUCUUAGAUUUCUUAACAACUCUGCCAAGUGAUAAAGCUGGGGUGCUUCCGCAGUCCAUCAGUGAAUUAGAAAAAAAUCUGAAUGAAUUUGGCAAGAUAAUGGGAGAUUACAAACACAAUUUAGAUCUUAUGGAGCAGCUGCAGCAGAUGAUGGAAGAGUGUCAAUUUUGGUGCGAAGAAGCAAGUGCUACAGUACUUCGGGUUGGGAAAUAUUCAUCGGAGUGUAAAACGAGAGAAGCGGUAGAAAUACUCUACAAGCAGUUCAACAAGUUUGUACACCCUAUUGUCCCUCAGCAAGAGGAAAGAAUUCAGCAGAUUACUAACCUUGCUAAAGACAUAUAUGGCACUGAAGAAGGAAAGAAGUAUGUUGAAAAAAUAGUGGCAAAGCAUGAAGAAGUUCUUGAUUCCAUCAGUGAACUGUGUAGUUCCUUAACAGAACUUGAAGACAAGCUUGGGGAAGACUCACUAAACAGAAAAGCAACACAUUCUGAUAACUUUGAUGUGGAGCUAAAAGCAGAAUAUGAAAAGCAGAAAGAGAAGAGAGCUAAGGAGUACCUAACAGAAACAACCAACGAGCCAACACAGAUGGAGUCAGAUACACUGGCUGGAAGCCCAUGCACAAAUAAAACAGAAGUUAUCUCCUCCACCACUGUAAAGGAAGAAAAGAUUUUGGCUGAUAUUUCAGUUAUCAGCCCAGCUGGUGAGGAUAUUGUUUCACAGGACACAGAAUUGUUGUCUCCUGCCAAAGAGGAUAGUUUCCAGGCCGAGCUGCUGGCAGAAGAUGUGCCCUCUGGAGAGGAAUAUGAGUGUAUAUCCCCAGAUGAUAUCUCUUUGCCACCGCUUUCUGAAACGCCAGAAUCCAACCUUCUGCAUUCUGAAACGGAUCUGGAAGAGCUCCCUUGCAGUAGCUCACGUAGCCUGCAUGUCAGCUCCUCUAGUGUGCAAAUGCAGAUAAAUACUGGCAGUAAAAGAAUGGCAGAUGAAUCUGAUCCCUUAACCUCUGCUGCUUAUGCUGACAUGCCUGGUCACAGGAUGGAACAUAUGGCCGAUCAACUAGAGCGAUUUUCUUCCUCUACCUUAAGCUAUCACUCAAAAUGCAAAGUGGAAUCACCUUUUGCUCCUAGUUCACCAGAAAUGCUUGAAACCAGCCCUGUAUCCUGCACGCUCAAGACAAAGGCUGCCUAUUGCAUGUCAAGUGAAGUGUGUGAGACCUAUUUGCAAAACCGUGGGACUCACAGGAGCAUGGCAGAAGCGCAGAGACAAUUGCAUGAUAUAAAUAACUUUACUAAAAACCAGGAUAGGCCGCAUGCUUUACCCAAUACAUUCUCAGAUCUCCUGUUUCAAUCAGACACCACCAGAAGCUGUCAGAGGCAGAUGGUCACCCGAGAAGAGAUUAAAAGUAUAUCUGAAAAGAACAGCAUGGUCAGCCUAUCUGGACAGGCGCCUAAGUUCUCCAAGCUUCUGUCUAACGUAACUGUCAUGGAAGGUUCUCCGGUGACUUUGGAAGUAGAAGUAACAGGAUUCCCAGAGCCUACGCUGACCUGGUACAAGAAGGGCCAGAAAGUGACUGGAGAUGAGCACUUAAAGCUCUUUCACAAGGACACAAAGUACACUUUGUUCAUUCAGAAGGUGUGUGACACAGACGCUGGGCUCUAUGUAGUUCGGGCCAAAAACUCUAGUGGCACCGUCUCCUCCAGUGCCAUCCUCCAUGUGAAAGUUCAAGGAAAACAGCCAAACUUCAUUAAAAAAUUUGGACACACUACUCUGCAAGAAGGAGAUGAUUUAAACCUGCAUUGUACAAUAUAUGGAAGACCAAGGCCAAAUGUCAUUUGGACAAAAGAUGGCAUCAGAGUGGCAGGAAGAGAAAUUAGUAUUGAGAAAUUAGGGGACACCUAUUACCUUUUAAAAAGAAAUGCAGUCCUUGCUGACACUGGAAAAUAUAUCUGCCUUGCCACUAAUGAAGUCGGGGAGGCACACUGCUCAGCUUUCAUAAGAGUGAUAGAGAAGAAUAAAAAUGCCCAUGUUCUCACUGUAACUGAGACUAAAUCAAAGCAAGGGAGAGACUAUUUGUCAGAAAAAGUGAAGGCUGCCACACCUGAAGCAUUGCAAGGGUUCUUUUUGGUCUGGAAUAGCCCCAUUGUGUCAUGUGAGCAGCCUGAAGCAAUAUGGUCAGGUACAGGAUUACCAUGUCAUCUGCGGGAUGUGAAAACCAGUCCUGAGCUCUUAGGCAAGACACCCUCCUUUGUAAUCCAAGAACGUGGAACAGGCUGAAUCUGCCCAGUGGUGGCACUUUUAAAGAUGACUUCAUGCAUUCCAAAACCUAAGCCCUUCCUUUCAAAACAGAAUCUGUGGCUGAUCUCUGAAAACCAGACAGCUGCACUUUAACCAUCCCAAAGAUACAGCAAGACCACCAGCAGAGGACUUGGAAGAUGUAGCCUGAGUCGCAUGAGCAGCAACCACACUGGAGAAAGACAGUGCAAGACCAUUCGUUUCAGAACCAUGAGGACCUGAAGAGUUGGCCUCCCAGAGAAUUCUUUGUCAGGUUGUCAAAACAGUUCAGAAUCUUCACAAAGUAGAUGGCACAUGUUUUAUGGAUGUCUCUUGUAUUCAAUUUCCACAAAAGUUUGUCUUAUAUGAUCUGUAAAUCUUUACACAUUGUUAUUGCACACGAGUGUUCCUUUGGGUCCAGUGAAGGCCUAUGCAUCAUUUUUAAAAUGUAUUUCCGUUUAGGGUGGGCUAUGCUAGCUGACCUGAUUAUUGUAUAUUUGCAGUUCACACAUCGACCUUAUGUGACAGGAUUGAGUAAAACAUGCCGAAAACCAAUCAGAGUGUUUCCUAGCUGCAAAGAGAUCUAGAUCUCAGGGCUGGCCUAACUUCACAUGCAAGCAAUCCAAAUGGUCUCUUUGUCCAGUAGUUUUUUUAAAAGGUAUCAGUGAAGCAGUGUGAUUAUAAAUGGCAUACAUCCUGGAUCCUUUGCAAUGUAAAGCUGGGCCACUGUUCUCAGAUCAGACAUAGAAAGGCCCCUGUGCAGUGGCAGUGCUUAAAAAACAAAGACCUAGUUCACAUAUAAUGGAAAUCAUGGGUUAAUUAAUUGCCAAAUUCUACUGAAGAUUAGCAAGUGUGGUAUCUCUUGCACACUCAUCACUUCUGCUUGCAUUUAACAACCUAUUUCUGCCCCAUUUGAGGUUGAUGGUAUGAUGUCUGAAACCAAACACUCUAGGUUGUUUAGUGAUUAAAUAACCCAGAGUGUGCACAUGGCUGGUUGUUGGAUUAUCUCAGUUGUUAACAUCUAAACAAUCAAGAAUGUCUGAGUUCAUAUAUCAUGCUAAAUUUCUGAAUGGCCAGAGGCAGUGCACUUCCUCACUUGCCCCUACAACAUUUUAGAAGUGAGUGAAUCCAUCCAUCCAUCCAUCCAUCCAUCCAUCCAUCCAUCCAUCCAUCUAUAAUUGCCAUUACAUGAAAACUGGGUAGAAAUGUCUUGAGCCAGCUUUGACAAAGCCUGAGUCAGAUUUCUCCAACUGACAGACUGGUCUGACAUGCAUAUUAGGCAAGACACCAAAAAUAGCCCCUUUUUUCUGAAUUGAACAUAUAAUGUCUAGGCACUAUCACAUCAUAACUUUAUGUUGAGAAUUCCUUAUAUUCAUUCUGUAUUACUGCCAAUAAGACUAGUCAAUAAUAACAGAUCAUGGGAGCUGAAAUCCAACAUGUGGAGGACCCCUUGCCUUACCAUAUGGUGGAUAUAAGCACUGGUCCUGUUUCUAGUAGCAUAAAUAGAUGCUAAAGUCUGGACAUGGCCAGUUGUGCUCUUCCAGUUAUGGCUAAUUUUGAAGAUGUGCCUGAUAGGAUAUUCUUUCCCAAACAAGAGGUAGUAUCCAGCAGUGUGCAGCCAGUAAAAUAAGUUAAAUGAUUCUAGAACAAUCUGAAUGGCUUUAGCUGGUGCACCAGUUUCUUAGAGAUAUUGGAGUGCCAGCUAAUGCUACUGAUGUUUGCACUGGAGUAGUUUCUGCUUGUACAAGUUAAUUUAUAUAAGUGGUUGUACCCCACUAGAUACUGUACUUUAUGCCCUCCAUUGGAUUUUGUACUUCAGCUCUCUUCAGCGCCAGCCAGCAUUAACAAUAGUUGGCAAUUUUGGAAGUUAUAGUGCAAAACCUUGAAAAGUGGGGCACCAGGUUGGGGAAGUCUUUGUAAGGCCGGGGUAAAGAAUUUGGCUUACCUGUCACAAAAGUUGUACAAUAUAUUGCUCUAUGGUUCCUUUAUCUCUUCAUCCUUUUCCUAAAACCAAAGGUAUUAUAGCCAAUCAUGUAUUGAGAAAUAAAUAGAAGGAACAAGUAUAACUUGUCUAUAAGUAAACAAAUAAAUAUUUUGCUUGAAAA